GAUGAACGCUGGCGGCGUGCCUAACACAUGCAAGUCGAGCGUGAACCCUGCGAAUGAAACUUCGGUCGAUUUUGCAGGGGGAAAGCGGCGGACGGGUGAGUAACGCGUAGGUAACCUGCCCCAUACUGAGGGAUAGCCUCGGGAAACCGGGAUUAAUACCUCAUAACACCGUAUAUUCGCAUGGAUGUGCGGUCAAAGAUUUAUCGGUAUGGGAUGGGCCUGCGUCUGAUUAGCUGGUUGGUGGGGUAACGGCCUACCAAGGCGACGAUCAGUAGCCGACCUGAGAGGGUGAUCGGCCACAUUGGAACUGAGAUACGGGCCAGACUCCUACGGGAGGCAGCAGUAGGGAAUAUUGGACAAUGGGUGCAAGCCUGAUCCAGCCAUGCCGCGUGCAGGAAGAAAGCCUUCUGGGUUGUAAACUGCUUUUGCCAGGGGAUAAAAACACUUUGCGAAGUGGAUUGAAGGUACCUGGUGAAUAAGCCACGGCUAACUACGUG
rnacentral:rRNA from 1 species